GCGUCUAUGACCCGAGUGGCAAAGGGUGGAGACUGUAAAUCUCCUGGCCGUAUGGCCUUCGUAGGUUCGAGUCCUUCUGGGCGCACCA
rnacentral:tRNA from 3 species